UACGUAGGGGGCAAGCGUUGUCCGGAAUCAUUGGGCGUAAAGCGCGUGUAGGCGGUUCGGUAAGUCUGCUGUGAAAGUCCAGGGCUCAACCCUGGGAUGCCGGUGGAUACUGUCGGACUAGAGUACGGAAGAGGCGAGUGGAAUUCCCGGUGUAGCGGUGAAAUGCGUUGAUAUCAUCAGGAACACCGGAGGCGAAGGCGGCUCACUGGGGAUUUUCUGACGCUGAGGAACGAAAGCCAGGGGAGCGAACGGG
rnacentral:rRNA from 1 species